GGAGGCCUAGGAUGAUUUAAAGAUUUGCCUACAUUGUCAGAUUGCUUAGCGCAUGACAGACAUAUUGGGAGUUUCUGAGGCCUCC